GAGAUAAAUGCUGAAAGCAUCUAAGCACGAAACUUGCCCCGAGAUGAGUUCUCCCUGACUCCUUGAGAGUCCUGAAGGAACGUUGAAGACGACGACGUUGAUAGGCCGGGUGUGUAAGCGCAGCGAUGCGUUGAGCUAAGCGGUACUAAUGAACCGUGAGGCUUAACCUUACAACGCCGAAG
rnacentral:rRNA from 1 species